rnacentral:rRNA from 1 species
UACGUAGGGUGCGAGCGUUAAUCGGAAUUACUGGGCGUAAAGGGAGCGUAGGCGGAUAGUUCAGUCAGAGGUGAAAGCCCAGGGCUCAACCUUGGAAUUGCCUUUGAUACUGGCUGUCUUGAGUAUGGGAGAGGUUAGCGGAACUCCGAGUGUAGAGGUGAAAUUCGUAGAUAUUCGGAAGAACACCAGUGGCGAAGGCGGCUAACUGGCCCAUUACUGACGCUGAGGCUCGAAAGCGUGGGGAGCAAACAGG